rnacentral:lncRNA from 1 species
CUAGAUCUAGCUUAUGAUAAUCAAUUACAUUGAAUUCUUGCAUGAUAGCAUGCAAUGCAUAUUUGGCUUCUAAUUUCCCGUAGGCAAAGUUGCUUAGGCAAUAAAGCGAGCAUGAGGCGUGAAAUAUGUCUUAUAUGUAGCAAAUAGUUUGCAUACAAUAUUUGGCUAAGGAAUGAAGUAGGUGCAAGGAUUAGUACGAGUCCUAAUGUCACGUUCUCGAUCUGAGAUCGUGAGUCAAAGAUC